CACCUGGUUAUCUACAGAGGAAGGCAAGGAUAACUAGAUUAAACAUUUCACAAGACCCUCCCAAUUACAGGCACAAACUCCUUUCAAGAUAUUACAAGUGUGGUUGAUUACGGGAGAUUGUCAGAUGAAAAGAAGGUAUUUCCUUUAUAUUUAUCUAGAUGUUUAAUUAGCUGCACAACCAUACGUGAUUCUAGAAGGAAACUAUUUAUCCUGAUGAUCUUGAUAUCCAGUCGUGUAUUACAGUAUUAGUAUAGGCUCUAAUUUUUGGCUAGGAAUCUAUAUAUACAGUCAUGUAUGAAUGGGCUAUGAUUCUUUUCUCCUUCUGAAUAGAUUCUUUUUUUUGUUCACUCCCUAUGAAAUAAUUUCAGAGCUACUGUGAUGUAGUAAUUAUUUGGCACAUCCAUAACUCAACCAGUUUAUGCGUGAUGAUUUAGUGCGUAUUUGGUUCCAAAGUGAAAAAACUAUUGGCCUUCGCUAGGCAAGGAUAAGUGUUUGGUACCAAAUGAAAAAUUAACUUUGUCAAGCUAACUAGCACGCAUGGGUCUGAAGCAGCUACUUUUUAUAUCCCUGGACUAUAGAUAUUACAUGCAUCAGUACUUGAUGCAUCUCUGAUAUGCUUUUGCUAUUUAUUGUGGCCCUUAAUUACUACUCUGAUGUGAACCCAGUGUUUAGGUUGCAGGCUCAAUUGUAUAUCCAUGGAUGUUACCCAUAUGGCAAUCUAUAAUUCUA
rnacentral:lncRNA from 1 species